GCGCAUAUUUUCACGUGUUUGUCUUCCCUCUGUACCAUUCUUUCUCUGCGACAUCUCUUCUCUCCCUGCCUGCGUUCUGCUUCAAGGUACUGCAAGUAGAGGGUGUUUUCUAUGACAAGCAAGGCCACCAGUCUCAGAUACGUCCAAAUCCUUCCCUGCUACUCCAUCAGGCAAUUUCCAAUCAAAUUGGUAAACAAGGUUUGCUAGCACCAAUUCAUUCACAGCAAUGGCAAACAAAAAUCCAGGACAACCCCUCCUUCCAGCUCCAAAUGGGAUAAGUUCAAAGUCUAAUCCUUUAAAAUCUAUUGAACUGUUCAUAAACCUUUCUGGUUUAAACUCUAAAGGUUCACCCCAACUUGAAGGAUCUCUAGCAAUAGCCCAAGCAUUGAUAAUUACCUGUGUUCCAGCUGCAAUGUCAUAACCAUCUAGUUUGAUAUCUUCCAUACAUUUCCGAGGAACUAAUAGCGGAAUUGGGACGUGGAGGCGAAGGGUUUCUUUAAUCACAGCUUUCAAAUAAUUCAGGUUAACCAAAUCUUCUUCAGUUACACGAGGUUUGUUUCCAACCACAGUUCUGACCUCAUCUUGCAGUUUAUGCAUUACAGUUUGGUGUCUUAACAGUUCUGUCAUUGCCCAUUCUAGGACUGUGUAUGUAGUAUCUGUACCUGCAGCAAACACAUCCUACGUGCAGGGGAAAAAACAUGAUUUAAUUUACUUAAAAUACGUAUAUUUCCACAAAAUAAAUGUUUAUAACAGUAUAUUAUUAAAUAUAUAAAAGAAACAAAUUUAUACAUAAAAUACAUCUAAAAUCUAACGGGAUUAGCUGGUUUUUUUUGGAACGCCAAAAUAUCAUUCUUUUUAUCGAUGAAAGUGGAAAGAUGAACAUGAUAGCGUCCACUAAUAUUUUAUAAUCAAAAUGGGCUCCUAACAUAAUUUUCAGAAUAUAUCCGGGGUCCACAUUCUUAGAAUUUGGUACUGGGCCUAACUCAUCCUUACAAAACCGGCUUCUAAAGUGAGGAUUGCCCUCACUUUAUAAACACACAUUCAGGCCAUCUCGCAACCGAUGUGGGACUUCUUAACACACAUCAUAGGAAUCAAGUAUCAGAUAAAUAUGACCAAGUUAGUCUAACUAAGUUGCUUUUGCCACAUAGAACAAUAAACCUAUCAUCAUAGGAAUUAAGUAUCAGUUUGAGAACACUAAAUCUAUUAUAUAUUUAUAUGCUAUAGAACAAUAUUAUACAAAAAGGGGAUGAAUGAUAUUGUUACUUACUAGUAUUAAAGCUUUUAUUGAAGUUCUCUCAAUUGGGAAGCCAAUAGCAUUAGUCUUUUGAACAGAAAGCAAAACAUCCACAAAAUCAUUUUGAUGCUCACUAUCAACACUAACAUCUCCAUCAGACCAACGACUAAUGUGCUCCUCAAUAACUUGUUCCAAGAACUCAUCCAAAUAUUUGGCACAUUUUUCUGCCCUGCUAUAAAAACCAUUAACUUUCCCCAACCAGUCAAGCCAAGGUAUAUAGUCUCCUAUACAUACAGUGCCCAAUAACUCCCCAAACUCCGACAAAACUUCCUGAAAUUUGUUCCCUUUUCCUUCACGGUAUCUUCUUCCUAAAGCCACCCUACAGACUAUAUCAUUAGUAAUUGUAGAACACAACUGAGUUAAAUUCAACGGCGGUGCAGAAGAACAACACUCCUUAAUAUAUUCCAUCAUUCUUAAAGUUUCUUCCUCUCUUACAUGAGUAUAAGAUAAAACCAUUUUGUUACUCAGAAGGUGUAUCACACUGAGACUCCUAAUUUGUCUCCAAUACUCACCAUAUGCACAACUUGCCACAUCUUUAGAACCAUAUAAAAGGAUAUCGAAGAUUUUACAGUGUGGCCUAUCAGAGAAAACCAAGUCAUGAGUUUUCAUUACUUUACUAGCUGCAUCAGCAGAAGAAACCACAAGUACUGGAACCUUCCCAAAAUAAAGAAGCAUUAAAGGGCCAUAUUUGUGUGAUAAAUUUUGGAGUGACCGGUGAGGCAAUAAGCCAAGUUGAUGGAGAUUACCAAGUAGAGGUAAUCUUGGAGGUGAAGGUGGUGAGUUUCUUGUGGUGUCAGAAUUAUUGAAAUACCAUUUGAUGAUGAAUAAAAUAGAAAGGAAUAGUGGAAAGAUAGUGAAUAAAAGCAUAGGGAAUGAAGUGAAUAUUUCGGGUGAAAAAGAACUUCGUAGAAAUGUGGACAUGGCCUUGAGCUUUGGUUUCUGCUCAGUGAUGAUAAAAACCACUCUCUUCCUUCUGAUAUAUCAGUUGAGUUUAUGCUGUUUAUUGGUUCUUCUAAUAUCUUUCUCUCUAUAAAUAUUACGGUGACUAGGAUAAUUAUAAUAAGAUAGUAAUGAGUUGUGUUUUGAUAAGGUGAGAAUCACAGCAUAGGAUGAGAAUGAGUCACGUUGUAUGUAUUGUUAUUUCUUCAUAUAUAUGCACUUAUAAUUUAUUUAUUUUUUGCAUGUGGAUAAUGAUAUAAGAGAUGAAGAGAAAAGUUUGUUGUGUGUGUAUAUAGUAACUUCAAAUUAGGAAUCCUUUCCCAUUCCAAUUAUGGCCAAAGUGUACCUAUCAUUCAAAUGUCACAAUCUUGUAUUCUACCCAAUUACAGGCUAAGAGAGGCAACCCUUUCCCAUUCCACUGUCAUUUAGAUUUUUAGUUCUUAUUUUGUUUUUCUCUUUUGUAUUCUGGACAUCUAUUAUUGAAUGACAUUAUCACUCCCCUAUUUUGAGUUACUAUAUUUUAUGUGAUUUGAUUUUGAGUAUUUGACUAAAA